CAUAGUACAUGAAGAUGUACUGGAAAGAAAGGACUCAAUUAUGUAAUGAUGAAACUGAAAACGACUAUUUACCAAAAACAUAUGAUCCUUU